ensembl:snRNA U6 U6 spliceosomal RNA
GUGCUCGCUUUGGCAGUACAUACACUGAAACUGGAAUGAUGCAGGGAGGAUUAGCAUGACACCUGUAUGAGGAUGACACCCAAAUUCAUGAAGCGUCCUGUACGGAA